UUGAACGCUGGCGGCAGGCCUAACACAUGCAAGUCGAGCGGCAGCGCGGGGCAACCUGGCGGCGAGCGGCGGACGGGUGAGUAACGCGUAGGAAUCUACCCAGUAGCGGGGGAUAGCCCGGGGAAACUCGGAUUAAUACCGCAUACGCCCUAAGGGGGAAAGCAGGGGAUCGUAAGACCUUGCACUAUUGGAAGAGCCUGCGUUGGAUUAGCUAGUUGGUAGGGUAAAGGCCUACCAAGGCGACGAUCCAUAACUGGUCUGAGAGGAUGAUCAGGCACACGGGAACUGAGACACGGUCCGGACUCCUACGGGAGGCAGCAGUGGGGAAUAUUGGACAAUGGGGGCAACCCUGAUCCAGCCAUGCCGCGUGUGUGAAGAAGGCCUUCGGGUUGUAAAGCACUUUAAGUGGGGAGAAAGGUUCGGCAGCUAAUACCUGCCGGAAGUGAUGUUACCCACAGAAUAAGCACCGGCUAACUCUGUGCCAGCAGCCGCCGUAA
rnacentral:rRNA from 1 species